AACAAAGCAGUAAAGGAAGUGGAUGAAGAUCUGAGUGGAGAUUUCAAAGAGAUGAAAGAUCAAGCUAAUGGAGAAACAAAUACUACAAAGAUUUUAGAAUCCAUGCUUCCACAGCAAAAGUUGAAUGUUGAUGUUGGUAGACAAAAACCUGAGAAGGUAGUGCCACCUUCACCUAGGAGCACGGAGCCUGUUGUUGCAGAUUCAACCGUAGUG
rnacentral:misc_RNA from 1 species